rnacentral:rRNA from 1 species
UACAGAGGGUGCAAGCGUUAAUCGGAAUUACUGGGCGUAAAGCGCGCGUAGGCGGCUGAUUAAGUCGGGUGUGAAAAGCCCCGGGCGUCAACCUGGGAACGAGCAUUCGAUACUGAUCGGCUAGAGUAUGAGAGAGGGAGGUAGAAUUCCACGUGUAGCGGUGAAAUGCGUAGAUAUGUGGAGGAAUACCGGUGGCGAAGGCGGCCUCCUGGUUCAAUACUGACGCUGAGGUGCGAAAGCGU